AGCCAAAAUUGCCAAAAUAAAUUAUUGGAAAGUAAAGCUAUAAGAUAUGGAAUUAAAAUAAUUUAUUUGGAAAUAAAUAAUACGGAAUUUAUCGAGAAUCGAAUGAUUAAGUGAUUGAUGGACUAAAUCGGACAAAAUAAAAAUUAGAAAGUGAAGCAAAAGGAGGUGGCAACUUCAAGGACUAAAAGAGACUCUUUUCCCACUUAUUAUCAUCAAUUAAGAAUGAAUAUUCAUUCAUUCAAAACAGAAAUUUCAGCCAAAAUCCGUAACCCUCCUUCUCCAUUUCUCUCCAAAUUUCACAUGUCCAUAACUUUUUCGUUUCUCAACGAAAUUGAGCGAUUCUUGCGGCCACGGAACGAGAAAACGAUUAUCUACAGAUAUGUGGCAUUAAUUUGAGUGAGUUUUUAAGCUUGAAUUGGAUGCAAAAUGAUGAUGAAGCUAAGGUUUUCAAGGUAAGAUAAUCAAUUUUAGGUUUCAUGGAUAGUAUUCAUGGAUUGAUGAUAGUAAAGAUUAGGGUUUAUGAUGUGUAAUUGGGGUUUUUGUUUGAUUGUGUGUUGUAAGGUGAAAUUGAGCUUGAUUAAAGGGAUUUGAUGGUGAUUGUUCAUACUAGAACCAUUUGACAUAGAGGCAUCGUUCAAGACUCGAAGAAGCGACUAUCGAUAAGGCUCGAGGCGAACGGAUCGAGAUAUCUUCAAGCUUAUUUGAAGGAUUUGGAUAGCAAAUGGGAUGGUAUGAUAUGAUUUGAAGAGUUAAGCUUCCGAAGUUUUAAUUCUUGGAAGUCAUUUGUAUAAGAAGAAAAAGAAGGUUUUUAAUUCUAGCAGUCCGCAGUAGUCUAGAUAUUUUAACUAGAAUUUUGUAUAACGCGUUUUUAACUCUGAUAUUAUUUGUAAAUGGGGUCACAUGUAUUUUAAUAUAUGAAAUAUGUUUUGAUUUGCGAAAAAUUUACACAGGUUUUUAGGCUUGCUACGGGAUUUGGAGCUACCACUCCCAUUCCCUAGCGCCGGUCGCGGCUCAUAAAUUUGGGUCGUGACAAUACUGGUAUAAAUAUAUUCAAUUCUCAAGUCUUAAACCUACUUUUAGGUAUAUAAUUUUCAGUUUAAGCCUAAACAACUCUUCUUAAACUGAAAUUAAAGACAAAUUGUAUAAAUAAUCAUUUGUGCAAUUAAAAACUUAUAAAAAUAAAUUUAAAUAGAGGUAUAAUUUAGGACUUUGACUAUUGGAUCCAAUAUAAAACUGGAGUAGUUAAGUAUGAAUAUAUAUGCAUGCACCAUAUAUAAGUGUUUAUAUGUUAAGUUUAAAAAAAAACUAAUGUCGCUUUAUAUGUUUCACACGUGACUCGUAGUGUGACUCGUAGUGUGACUCGUCAAAUUAUUAAAUAUAAUUUAAAUUAAUAGUUAAUUUGGAAUCGGUUAUCUUACUAAAUACUUAAAAAAUUAAUUGGUACUCAAAUUUUACAAUUAUAGAGAAUUUUAAUAAAAGAUAUAAAGUAAAAAAUUUAAAUAGUUGUUCAUUGAAAUAGUUCAUAUUUAGAAUUUAUACGAUUAAAAAAUAAUUAAAAUAGUAAUCAUUAUAUAGUUAAAGUAGUCUAUUUUAACUAGUACUCUAACAAUUGUCUCAACAUUGUAGUUUAUUAACCAACGAGCUAUAGCUCAAAUGGUAUAAGCGCUCAGCAGAAAACUGCUAAGGUCGUGGGUUCAAUUCCUCACACAAGCGCUCCUUCUCCCCCAAUUAUCAAAACAAAAAAACUUGUAGUUUAUUUUAGUUAGUACUCUAACUUAUUUUAACAUAGUAGUUUAUUUUAGUUAGUACUCUAAUUUUAAUAAUUAUUUUAAUAGUUUUUAAUUAAUAAUAAUAAUUAAAUUAUAUAAGUGGAAAGUACAUUAA